GAUGAACGCUGGCGGCGCGCCUAACACAUGCAAGUCGAACGAUUAAAGCACCUUCGGGUGUGUAUAAAGUGGCGAACGGCUGAGUAACACGUGGGCAACCUGCCCCUUUCAUUGGGAUAGCCACGGGAAACCGUGGAUAAUACCGAAUACUUCGAGACUUCCGCAUGGAAGACUCGAGAAAGCUCCGGCGGAGAGGGAUGGGCCCGCGGCCUGUUAGCUUGUUGGUGGGGUAACGGCCUACCAAGGCAAUGAUGGGUAGCUGGGUUGAGAGACCGACCAGCCAGAUUGGGACUGAGACACGGCCCAGACUCCUACGGGAGGCAGCAGUGGGGAAUCUUGCACAAUGGGCGAAAGCCUGAUGCAGCGACGCCGCGUGCGGGAUGAAGGCCUUCGGGUUGUAAACCGCUUUCAGCAGGGACGAGGCGAAAGUGACGGUACCUGCAGAAGAAGCCCGG
rnacentral:rRNA from 2 species